GGGGAAUAUUGCGCAAUGGGCGAAAGCCUGACGCAGCGACGCCGCGUGAGGGAUGAAGGUUUUCGGAUCGUAAACCUCUGUCAGAAGGGAAGAAACCGCACCGUGCUAAUCAGCGGUGCCUUGACGGUACCUUCAAAGGAAGCACCGGCUAACUACGUGCCAGCAGCCGCGGUAAUACGUAGGGCGCAAGCGUUGUCCGGAAUUAUUGGGCGUAAAGAGCUCGUAGGCGGUUAGUCGCGUCUGCUGUGAAAACUCGAGGCUCAACCUCGGGCUUGCAGUGGGUACGGGCUGACUAGAGUGCGGUAGGGGUGACUGGAAUUCCUGGUGUAGCGGUGGAAUGCGCAGAUAUCAGGAGGAACACCGAUGGCGAAGGCAGGUCACUGGGCCGCAACUGACGCUGAGGAGCGAAAGCAUGGGGAGCGAACA
rnacentral:rRNA from 1 species